rnacentral:rRNA from 1 species
GACGAACGCUGGCGGCGUGCUUAACACAUGCAAGUCGAACGGAAAGGCCCUGCUUUUGUGGGGUGCUCGAGUGGCGAACGGGUGAGUAACACGUGAGUAACCUGCCCUUGACUUUGGGAUAACUUCAGGAAACUGGGGCUAAUACCGGAUAGGAGCUCCUGCUGCAUGGUGGGGGUUGGAAAGUUUCGGCGGUUGGGGAUGGACUCGCGGCUUAUCAGCUUGUUGGUGGGGUAGUGGCUUACCAAGGCUUUGACGGGUAGCCGGCCUGAGAGGGUGACCGGCGACGGUGGGACGGAGGGACGGCGCAGACUGGUACGGGAGGCAGCAGGGGGGAGUAGUGCACAAUGGGCGGGAGCCUGAUGCAGCAACGCCGCGUGCGGGAUGACGGCCUUCGGGGUGUAAACCGCUUUCGCCGGUGACGAAGCGUGAGUGACGGUAAUGGGUAAAGAAGCACCGGCUAACUACGUG